UGGAGAGUUUGAUCCUGGCUCAGAUUGAACGCUGGCGGCAGGCCUAACACAUGCAAGUCGAGCGGCAGCACGGGUACUUGUACCUGGUGGCGAGCGGCGGACGGGUGAGUAAUGCCUAGGAAUCUGCCUGGUAGUGGGGGAUAACGCUCGGAAACGGACGCUAAUACCGCAUACGUCCUACGGGAGAAAGCAGGGGACCUUCGGGCCUUGCGCUAUCAGAUGAGCCUAGGUCGGAUUAGCUAGUUGGUGAGGUAAUGGCUCACCAAGGCGACGAUCCGUAACUGGUCUGAGAGGAUGAUCAGUCACACUGGAACUGAGACACGGUCCAGACUCCUACGGGAGGCAGCAGUGGGGAAUAUUGGACAAUGGGCGAAAGCCUGAUCCAGCCAUGCCGCGUGUGUGAAGAAGGUCUUCGGAUUGUAAAGCACUUUAAGUUGGGAGGAAGGGCAGUUACCUAAUACGUAUCUGUUUUGACGUUACCGACAGAAAAAGCACCGGACUAACUCUGUGCCAGCAGCCGCGGUA
rnacentral:rRNA from 1 species